GUACACUGGGUAGCUACAUUGAAUGUGGGAUCAGGCGGGGCCCAUGCAAGUUACUACCACAGGGCAAAUGAACAGGUGAGACCUCUGAUCUCAUUCCCUCCUUGUCAGCAAGUCAGUCAUGAACUUCUGUUCAUCUGGACCUCUAUCGCCCUGCUGACCUAUUUUUCUUCCUACCACGCUGUGUAUAUAUUUACAUGCAUGCCUCCAUUCUGCUGAUUCCCCAUCAGGACCCUUCUGGUCUUCACUGAUACUGAUCUCUCUCUCAUCCUUGCCCAUGGUUCUCAGGUUCAGGUUGGAGUGGAGUUUGAGGCAAACACAAGGCUACAAGACACAACAUUCUCCUUUGGUUACCACCUGACUCUGCCCCAGGCCAACAUGGUAUUUAGAGGCUUGGUGGAUAGUAACUGGUGUGUAGGUGCUGUGCUGGAGAAGAAGAUGCCCCCUCUGCCUGUCACCCUAGCCCUUGGAGCCUUCCUCAAUCACUGGC
rnacentral:sRNA from 1 species